rnacentral:rRNA from 1 species
UACGGAGGGAGCUAGCGUUAUUCGGAAUUACUGGGCGUAAAGCGCACGUAGGCGGCUUUGUAGGUUAGAGGUGAAAGCCUGGAGCUCAACUCCAGAAUUGCCUUUAAGACUGCAUCGCUUGAAUCCAGGAGAGGUGAGUGGAAUUCCGAGUGUAGAGGUGAAAUUCGUAGAUAUUCGGAAGAACACCAGUGGCGAAGGCGGCUCACUGGACUGGUAUUGACGCUGAGGUGCGAAAGCGUGGGGAG